UCUCCGUAGGUGAACCAGCGGAGGGAUCAUUACAGAGUUGCAAAACUCCCAAACCAUUGUGAACGUUACCUAUCCCGUUGCUUCGGCGGGCGGCCCGGGCCCCGCGCCCGGCGCCCCCCGGCCCCCCGUGGGCGCCCGCCGGAGGUAAACCAAACCCUUGAAUUGCAUGGCCUCUCUGAGUCUUCUGUACUGAAUAAGUCAAAACUUUCAACAACGGAUCUCUUGGUUCUG
rnacentral:misc_RNA from 1 species